GCAUAGAACCCCCAGCAGCUUAUCUGCAGCUGCUCAGCUGUGCAAGGUCUCUGAAGGAGAGAGUGUGAUUUGAUGGGAGGAGGGUGGGAUGCCCUUCUUAAAGCCACAACAUCAUCAUUCGCUGAAAACAGGAAGGCUUUAUCUCCAAGCAGAUAGUUCUUGAACUUUUCAGAGGACAGAUUUCCCUGCUAAUCUAAAUGCCAGAAAGAUUGGAGCAAAUGGGAUCAAAUUUUGGCUAAACAGCUGACCUUCCCCUUUGGCUUCCUCCAUCAUCAGCUUGAAAAUUAAAGGAAUACAUGACACCCUCCCCUGCUUGCCCUGAAUCAUGAUUCUCUUUACAUUCUGUUUAUGCUCUGGAAGGGGUUACUUGAGUAAAUCCCAGCAGGAUUCUGACAGUAAUUUCUUUUAUUGGUGGAAGAAAGGAUUUGUUUUACCCCAAACCAACCUGAGGAACCUGUGAAGCAAGGCUUAAGAAUGGUUCAAGUUUCAACAUAAAACCUACCUGAGCCUGACCCUGACUCUGACACAUAGCAGCUGUGGACACUGUGCCUGAGUCCUCUCUGCCACACAAGGAGGAUAACGACCUUCAUGAUUGUUGGC
rnacentral:lncRNA from 12 species